GCCCCCGUAGUUCAACGGAUAGAACUUCUCACUCCUAACGAGAUAACAGGGGUCCGACUCCUCUCGGGGGCA
rnacentral:tRNA from 3 species